AUAGGGAGUCGGACCUGCCCAGUGAAGUAUUUUAAACGGCCGCGGUACUCUGACCGUGCAAAGGUAGCAUAAUCAUUUGCCCUAUAAUUGAGGGCUAGUAUGAAUGGUUUGACAAGAAUAAAGCUGUCUCCAUGUAAUUAUAUAGAACUUUAUUUUUAGGUGAAGAAGCCUAAAUUAUAUUAAAAGACAAGAAGACCCUAUCGAGCUUUAAAGAAAUUAAUAAAAUAAUAAUAUAUAUUAAUUAAAAUAAAUUUUAUUAAAAAUUUUGGUUGGGGCGACAAAGGAACAAAUAAAGCUUCUUUUAAAUUAAUAAAACCUGCAAGUAUUGAUCCAAAAAAUUUUGAUUAAAGAAAUUAGUUACCGUAGGGAUAACAGCAUUAUCUUUUUUGAGAGCUCAUAUCGAAAAAAAGGUUUGUGACCUCGAUGUUGGACCAGGAUAUCCUGAAGAUGCAGAAGUCUUCAAGGGUUGGUCUGUUCGACCAUUAAAAUCCUA
rnacentral:rRNA from 1 species